GGCUAAGAUUCUCAAUAGUUUGAUAUUCUGUGGUGUGUUUUACAAAUUGGCUGCUAGAUGGCGCUGAGAUAAAUUUGUUAAACUUGCGCAUUGAACAUCAUUUUCACUAUCCUUACCACCGAAGAUAAAGGAUCACAAACAUAUGGCGUACUACAUCACGAAGUCUAACUAAUCGAUUGGAGCGCCUUGGGAAAUAUCAAACUUCUUCUACACCGUUGGAAGAGUCAACUACUUCUUCUACAUCGCUAGAAGAUUCACCAACUAAGUCCAAAUCUAACGCCUAAGCACGAACACUCACUUCCUCUACUAAGUAUCCUCUAGUGCUACGUCCACUAACAUAGGAAGUUCAAGUCUAAGAGCCUUGCUCUAGCGUGCAUAUCUAUCUUACCUUCGGGCGACAAGUUGUCAUCAAGGAAUUAUAUCUACUCAACAGUGUAACUUAAGUGUUGGAAAUAAAAUCUUAUAAUUCUGUGAA